GAGGCUAGUGGAGACCGAGGGAGACAGGGUUUUGAGCUCCACUCAAGAGGGGGUAGAAUGGCUGCAGGGGACACUAGAAUGAAGCCACCAGCUUCCCCAAACAGGAGCAGCUUUCAGAAGGCAUGGAUGCCACGGAAAGGCUAAGUUGAUUGUCCCUCCCUGCAGGAGCCACCCCCUGUGCAGCACCCCGCUGCAGAGCCUGAUUGCUUAUUCUGGAGCAGUUUCUGCUUGUAAUUUGUUGGCUUAAAGGUCGGAAUGGACUUCUUAGGAAGACAGAUUUCCUUGUGGCCGCUCCUUGGGGACUGAGCUCUCAACACCAAUUGCCCCAGAUUUCAGCCCAAUUUGGGUCUUAGGUUUCCCCACUGGGGUGGGCGAGGCUCACAGAAGAAAACAGGCAAGUGCGGGGUGGCGGGCUGUGCGUCCAGAGGGCCAGGUGGGAAAAAGGAGUGACAGGGAUGCUGGCGGAGCCCCGGGGGGCAAGGAGAGAGGGCACUUUAUAAAUCAUCAGCUCCCUUUUAAAAAUGGAGUUUAACCUCCCUCAGUUUUGCUUUUGAAUUUAUCAGCAGCUUCAUUUCCCUGAGUAAUAAUUCAUUAUCUCAUUCCCAGCCUGAGGAGCGGUGCUGGGCCCAGAAGUGACAUUCCCGUCCAUACCUUUAAGUGACACUCUUAGCUGUGUCAUCUUCAGAUCAAUGUGAGCCUCAAGCCCCCCGCCCCUUGCAUCCGCACAUGCCCCUUGGACGUGGCUGUGCCCAGGUGCGGGUGCCCGACAGCCCCCCCCCCCCCGCCUCUUUUGCUGAUGUUCUUUCCACCAGAGUUCUUUUUGGGGCCCGAACUCCUCUCCAUUGGGAAGCGAGGCAGCUGUGGCGGCGGCGGCGGCGGCAGGGAGCUAGAGCCUUGCUGUUGGAGCCAGAAUCGAGAUAACUGCUACAGAGGGGAGGGAGCUAAAGGGAGGGUUGGAGGGGGCCACACGUGUCAGCUUAACUGGAGGAUCUGAAAAAGCUAUUUCAAUCCCGUCUCCAAGUGGGAGACUGGCAGAUGCCCUUCUGUGGAAUGAAAGUUUUGCUCUUCCUCUCCGUCUCCUCUGCCAAGGAAGAAAGCUCGACUAACAAGGGACGCGACGAUGCUUUUUCACUAGGAAAAAGUCCUUUCUCCCCAGAUCCCUUCCCUCCUCACAGCACAAAAGAGACCCUGUCCUAACGGCCAUCGUGGCAGCCUGGAAAUGAGGAUGGGGCGGUGUAUGAGAACCACCUGAUGCCCAAGGCGGGACCAAUUAAACUGGUUGCCGUGGGGAUGGGACCAGACAGCAGGGUGGUUCAAGUGCUCAGGUGAUGGCAGCCUGGGCCACGUCUGGGCAUCACUGCCCUACAGUCUUACUGCCCAAGCUCAGGCUGGGCUCUCUGCAUCCCUGGGAGCUUGUUAAAAAGGCUGGACCCAAGCCCCACGCCUGGCUUUAGGAAGCAGCAUCUGCAUUUUCAUCAAAUCCCCAGCUCUGUGCACCGGGUCCCUAGAACGAUGUGCACACGGUGUCUGGACCAAUGGCUGGCUUUAUCUGCACUUUUGAAGCUAAACCCAAUCAGAUUCUAAAGUCCAGUGGGUCCUUCCACUAAUAAUCUCAUCAUCCUUGCACUGGGAAGGCGAGAAUGCCGAACCAGGAAUCUCUAAAACACUGGACUGGAUUUUCUCCAGGUGCGUCCUGAUGCAUUCGCAGAUUCCAUCCCCCUGAGCGUAGGACUGGGGUCUCAUUUCCCAGGUCCCCGGACUGAGCAGGGCCAGGGGUUCAUGCCUCCUCAAGCAGCUUAACCUGGUGGAGGGACCGAAGCUUUCAGAUAUACAUUCAUCGACUGGGGACCAUGAGAGCCACCAUUUCUCAUCCAUGUAGUGAAAGUAUUAAUGGACGAUGAGAGUGAGGAGGGGAAUUGAUGGAGGUGUUGAAUAAAUUUAUGACACAUCCACAAAGGAAUACUACACAGCCAUUUAAAAUCUAUAUUUGCAAAGAAUAUUUAAUGACCUGGAAAAUGCUCACAAUACGAUAUUCAGUAAGAAUAAA